GCUCCCACAAGCUUUCACUUGAAGAGUCAAAAUGAGGCUGUGUGUCUCUUUGGUGUUCAUCUCUAUGUUGCUACCAGCAGUGUGUGGGUUAAAGUGUUUCACCUGCUGGGGUGCAAACCCUGGCACCUGUAAUCAGGUAUGGACCUGUGCUGACCAUUACGACCGCUGUUCCACCACCAUUGUUGCUGAAAAUAUGAUCACCAAACAAUGCAUGAGAAGUGAUAUGUGCAAUAAUGUUUAUUCUGAUGGUGUCAGAUGUUGUGCUGGAGACCUGUGUAAUGGAGCAAAACACACUGGAGUCUUUGUCCCUCUCCUUUUAGGGCCCUUAGCCAUCAUUACACUCCUAAUUUGAAGCUUACUGUCCUAAUUUCUCGUCCUGUAAAAAAUGGAAUUUGCUGUGGUUCUUUGAGUGUUCAGAGGUGGUGAAAGCAUAAUCUUUUGAGGCAGUGGUGAUCUCUGAAAUUUUUCCUUACUUGAGGAAAACCUUUGAAAUCUAAAAUCCUAGUGAACUACUGAAGAAAUUUAGCUUUUUGGACUGUAUAUCUGUAAUUAUU